UGCGUAGGUGGCGCCGUAAGUCGGGUGUGAAAUUUCGGAGCUUAACUCCGAAACUGCAUUCGAUACUGCGGUGCUUGAGGACUGGAGAGGAGACUGGAAUUUAUGGUGUAGCAGUGAAAUGCGUAGAGAUCAUAAGGAAGACCAGUGGCGAAGGCGGGUCUCUGGACAGUUCCUGACACUGAGGCACGAAGGGCCAGGGGAGCAAACG
rnacentral:rRNA from 1 species